rnacentral:rRNA from 1 species
GGCUCAGGAUGAACGCUGGCGGCGUGCCUAAUACAUGCAAGUCGAACGCACAGCGAAAGGUGCUUGCAUCUUUCAAGUGAGUGGCGAACGGGUGAGUAACACGUGGAUAACCUACCUCAAGGUUGGGGAUAACAUUUGGAAACAGAUGCUAAUACCGAAUAAAACUUCGUAUCGCAUGAUACAAGGUUAAAAGGCGCUACGGCGUCACCUAGAGAUGGAUCCGCGGUGCAUUAGUUAGUUGGUGGGGUAAAGGCCUACCAAGACAAUGAUGCAUAGCCGAGUUGAGAAACUGAUCGGCCACAUUGGGACUGAGACACGGCCCAAACUCCUACGGGAGGCUGCAGUAGGGAAUCUUCCACAAUGGGCGAAAGCCUGAUGGAGCAACGCCGCGUGUGUGAUGAAGGCUUUCGGGUCGUAAAGCACUGUUGUAUGGGAAGAACAGCUAGAGUAGGGAAUGACUUUAGUUUGACGGUACCAUACCAGAAAGGGACGGCUAAAUACGUG